UGCAAGUCGUACGAGCAUCGCAAGAUGUGUUAGUGGCGAACGGGUGCGUAACGCGUAAGAACCUACCUUUUGGAGAGGGAUAACAUCGGGAAACUGAUGCUAAUACCUCAUAUUGCUGAGGAGUGAAAGGUGAAAACCGCCAAAAGAGGGGCUUGCGUCUGAUUAGCUAGUUGGUGAGGUAAAGGCUUACCAAGGCCACGAUCAGUAGCUGGUCUGAGAGGAUGAUCAGCCACACUGGGACUGAGACACGGCCCAGACUCCUACGGGAGGCAGCAGUGAGGAAUUUUCCGCAAUGGGCGAAAGCCUGACGGAGCAAUGCCGCGUGAAGGAAGAAGGCCCGUGGGUCGUAAACUUCUUUUAUCAGAGAAGAAUAAAUGACGGUAUCUGAUGAAUAAGCUCCGGCUAACUCUGUGCCAGCAGCCGCGGUAAUACAGAGGGAGCAAGCGUUAUCCGGAAUGAUUGGGCGUAAAGCGUUUGUAGGUGGCCUAGAAAGUCUACUGUCAAAUAUCAAGGCUUAACCUUGAGCAGGCAGUGGAGUACUCCUAGGCUUGAGUGUGGUAGAGGUAGAGGGAAUUCCAUGUGGAGCGGUGAAAUGCGUAGAGAUAUGGAGGAACACCAGCGGCGAAGGCGCUCUACUGGGCCAAGACUGACACUGAGAAACGAAAGCUAGGGGAGCGAAAAGGAUUAGAUACCCUUGUAG
rnacentral:rRNA from 1 species